UACGAAGGGGGCUAGCGUUGCUCGGAUUUACUGGGCGUAAAGGGCGCGUAGGCGGAUCAGCAAGUUGGGGGUGAAAGCCCGGGGCUCAACCUCGGAACUGCCCUCAAAACUGUUGAUCUAGAGUUUGGGAGAGGUGUGUGGAACUCCGAGUGUAGAGGUGAAAUUCGUAGAUAUUCGGAAGAACACCAGUGGCGAAGGCGACACACUGGCCCAAUACUGACGCUGAGGCGCGAAAGCGUGGGGAGCAAACAGG
rnacentral:rRNA from 1 species